rnacentral:rRNA from 1 species
CAGUCGCCGCGGGAAUACGAAGGGUGCAAGCGUUACUCGGAAUUACUGGGCGUAAAGCGUGCGUAGGUGGUGGUUUAAGUCCGUUGUGAAAGCCCUGGGCUCAACCUGGGAAUUGCAGUGGAUACUGGAUCACUAGAGUGUGGUAGAGGAUAGUGGAAUUUCCGGUGUAGCAGUGAAAUGCGUAGAGAUCGGAAGGAACAUCUGUGGCGAAGGCGACUAUCUGGGCCAACACUGACACUGAGGCACGAAAGCGUGGGGAGCAAACAGGAUUAGAUACACCCGUAGUCCCUGUCUCUUAUAC